AGGGGGGAUACUCAAGGAAUAAAUCGAAAAUGUUCUGAACUUAAAACAUAUUUGGAAUUUAUUUUUUUUUCAGACAACACUUCAUUUAGCCCUGGCUUGUCUUAAACUUGCUAUGUAUCCAAGGAUGACGCCGAUGUCCUGAUCGUACCUCCAUUUCCUCAGUACCACUGUUGCAGGUAUAGCCACCGAAUCUUGAGUCGAUAAGUAAGUACACAGAAUAAUGGAUUUUAUUAUGACGUUUUCUAUACACAGAUCAUUUUAUCUGGGAUUGUUUACACCUCUCUUGCCUGGAUCAUUUUAUCUGAGAUCCUUCACACCUCUCUUGCCUGGAUCGCUUUAUCUGGGAUCCUUCACACCUCUCUUGCCUGGAUCGCUUUAUCUGGGAUCCUUCACACCUCUCUUGCCUGGAUCGCUUUAUCUGGGAUCGUUCAUACCUCUCUUCAUCCUCUUCAACCUCCAUCUUCCCUUCAGUCUUGUCAAGAUUGAUUUUCUGGAUAAUGGAUCUAGAAACUCAAGGUACCCUGUAAUGACGAUGGUUGGAUACUGUAUAUGUAAAUACCCUUUCACCCAGUUGACUGAAAGAAGGAAGCAGGUUGCUACAGGGUGUUGAAGGACUCAGACGGAGCCAGGCCAGGAGGCAGGGUGAGUGUGCUCUUUAUUCCGAUGCAAUUAAUGGUGUCAGGUGAGGUUUCGUGAAAGCCCAAGUUCGUACAUCAAAUGAAUUCCAUUAUUAACUUGGUGAUAUCCCAAAUUCAUAACACGCGUGUAAAUCUUAAUGAGGCAUCAUAUCUUCUAGGUGUUUUGGAUUAGAAGCUGAUAUAAAACAUAAAGAUACUUUUGAAGCUGGAGAGAUAGCUCAGCUGUUAAGAGUGGUUUUUGAUUUGAGUUUGGUUCCAAGCACUUGUAUCAAGAGGCUCACACUGCCUUAACUCCAGCUCCAGGGAACAAAGCCCUCUUCUGGUACCCACAUGUAUAUGCAACACACACACAUACACACACAGAGCACAAACACACAUACACACAUGUGCACUCACACACAUACACACAAUACACACCCACUCCCACCCAUACAUUCAACACACACAGCACACACCCAUGCACACCCAUACACACAAUACACACCCACUCUCACACACACAUACACAUGCGCAAACACACACCCAUGCACACAGAAUUUGUGUGCACAAAAGAAAAAAGUCUUUUAAAACAGAUUCUUAAAGAAACACACUAGCAUAUUAUCAUUCAAAACCUCUGAAAUAAACAAAAGGUGUUUUUAAAAAAACAAGGAGAACGAACGAGCUCAGCAGUCGGGACUUGUGUCUGUCUUCUCUUUAC
rnacentral:lncRNA from 1 species